GACGAACGCUGGCGGCGUGCUUAACACAUGCAAGUCGAACGGAAAGGCCCCCUUGUGGGGUACUCGAGUGGCGAACGGGUGAGUAACACGUGAGUAACCUACCCUUGACUUUGGGUUAACUUCAGGAAACUGGGGCUAAUACCGGAUAGGAGCUCCUGCUGCAUGGUGGGGGUUGGAAAGUUUCGGCGGUUGGGGAUGGACUCGCGGCUUAUCAGCUUGUUGGUGGGGUAGUGGCUCACCAAGGCUUUGACGGGUAGCCGGCCUGAGAGGGUGACCGGCCACAUUGGGACUGAGAUACGGCCCAGACUCCUACGGGAGGCAGCAGUGGGGAAUAUUGCACAAUGGGCGGAAGCCUGAUGCAGCAACGCCGCGUGCGGGAUGACGGCCUUCGGGUUGUAAACCGCUUUCGCCUGUGACGAAGCGUGAGUGACGGUAAUGGGUAAAGAAGCACCGGCUAACUACGUG
rnacentral:rRNA from 1 species